rnacentral:rRNA from 1 species
GAUGAACGCUGGCGGCGUGCUUAACACAUGCAAGUCGAACGGGAAACCUUUUAUUGAAGCUUCGGCAGAUUUAGAUUGUUUCUAGUGGCGGACGGGUGAGUAACGCGUGGGUAACCUGCCUUAUACAGGGGGAUAACAGUCAGAAAUGACUGCUAAUACCGCAUAAGCGCACAGAGCUGCAUGGCUCGGUGUGAAAAACUCCGGUGGUAUAAGAUGGACCCGCGUUGGAUUAGCUAGUUGGUGAGGUAACGGCCCACCAAGGCGACGAUCCAUAGCCGGCCUGAGAGGGUGAACGGCCACAUUGGGACUGAGACACGGCCCAGACUCCUACGGGAGGCAGCAGUGGGGAAUAUUGCACAAUGGGGGAAACCCUGAUGCAGCGACGCCGCGUGAAGGAAGAAGUAUCUCGGUAUGUAAACUUCUAUCAGCAGGGAAGAAAAUGACG